GUUCUUACCGAAAGCAAGAUGAAAAGGGAAACCGGUGUAAGUCCGGUACGGUCCCGCCACUGUAAGAGGGAGUCGGUUAUCAUAAUGUCACUGCAGAAAUUGUGGGAAGACGAUAACAGAUGCAGAACUCAAGUCAGGAGACCUGCAUAC
rnacentral:ncRNA from 1 species